rnacentral:lncRNA from 1 species
GUUUAUUGCCGGAGAGUUUCUGCAAUAUGCUACUGCAGUCCAUAUGCUUAUCAAUUAUGAGGAUUUUUGGCUUUCGGCUCUGGAAAAUAUGAGAAAUAUGGGCAAUUACUCUCUGAAGAAAGGUGUUGAAUAAUUUGAAUGGGAAUUUGAAGGUCCAUGGCUUCCAAACCAGCAGGAGUUAAGGCUUAAUUGCUUGGAAAUACAUUUUCAUGGCUGAUACCAGUAACAGAAAAAUGUCUGUAUGUCAAGAGGCUCUGUACUAAUCAGUUAACCAUAACAUGUGCCACCCCAUACCUUGGGCCAAUGUAACUGUUAACAGCUUGAAGCUAUUAAAAAUGUACCAAUGGAGAACUUU